rnacentral:rRNA from 1 species
GGAAUAUUGGACAAUGGGUGAAAGCCUGAUCCAGCCAUCCCGCGUGAAGGAUGACGGUCCUAUGGAUUGUAAACUUCUUUUGUAUAGGAAUAAACCUUUCUACGUGUAGAAAGCUGAAGGUACUAUACGAAUAAGCACCGGCUAACUCCGUGCCAGCAGCCGCGGUAAUACGGAGGGUGCAAGCGUUAUCCGGAUUUAUUGGGUUUAAAGGGUCCGUAGGCGGACCAAUAAGUCAGUGGUGAAAUCUCAUAGCUUAACUAUGAAACUGCCAUUGAUACUGUUGGUCUUGAGUAAAUUAGAGGUAGCUGGAAUAAGUAGUGUAGCGGUGAAAUGCAUAGAUAUUACUUAGAACACCAAUUGCGAAGGCAGGUUACCAUGAUUUAACUGACGCUGAUGGACGAAAGCGUGGGUAGCGAACAGGAUUAGAUACCCGAG